CCUGGCUCAGAUUGAACGCUGGCGGCAGGCCUAACACAUGCAAGUCGAGCGGUAGAGAGGUGCUUGCACCUCUUGAGAGCGGCGGACGGGUGAGUAAUGCCUAGGAAUCUGCCUGGUAGUGGGGGAUAACGCUCGGAAACGGACGCUAAUACCGCAUACGUCCUACGGGAGAAAGCAGGGGACCUUCGGGCCUUGCGCUAUCAGAUGAGCCUAGGUCGGAUUAGCUAGUUGGUGGGGUAAUGGCUCACCAAGGCGACGAUCCGUAACUGGUCUGAGAGGAUGAUCAGUCACACUGGAACUGAGACACGGUCCAGACUCCUACGGGAGGCAGCAGUGGGGAAUAUUGGACAAUGGGCGAAAGCCUGAUCCAGCCAUGCCGCGUGUGUGAAGAAGGUCUUCGGAUUGUAAAGCACUUUAAGUUGGGAGGAAGGGCAUUAACCUAAUACGUUAGUGUUUUGACGUUACCGACAGAAUAAGCACCGGCUAACUCUGUGCCAGCAGCCGCGGUAAUACAGAGGGUGCAAGCGUUAAUCGGAAUUACUGGGCGUAAAGCGCGCGUAGGUGGUUCGUUAAGUUGGAUGUGAAAGCCCCGGGCUCAACCUGGGAACUGCAUUCAAAACUGUCGAGCUAGAGUAUGGUAGAGGGUGGUGGAAUUUCCUGUGUAGCGGUGAAAUGCGUAGAUAUAGGAAGGAACACCAGUGGCGAAGGCGACCACCUGGACNGAU
rnacentral:rRNA from 1 species